rnacentral:rRNA from 2 species
GGGUUGUGAGGUUAAGCGACUAAGCGUACACGGUGGAUGCCCUGGCAGUCAGAGGCGAUGAAGGGCGUGCUAAUCUGCGAUAAGCGCCGGUAAGGUGAUAUGAACCGUUAUAACCGGCGAUACCCGAAUGGGGAAACCCAGUGUGACUCGUCACACUAUCAUUAACUGAAUCCAUAGGUUAAUGAGGCGAACCGGGGGAACUGAAACAUCUAAGUACCCCGAGGAAAAGAAAUCAACCGAGAUUCCCCCAGUAGCGGCGAGCGAACGGGGAGGAGCCCAGAGCCUGAAUCAGCAUGUGUGUUAGUGGAAGCGUCUGGAAAGGCGCGCGAUACAGGGUGACAGCCCCGUACACAAAAGCGCAUGUGCUGUGAGCUCGAUGAGUAGGGCGGGACACGUGGUAUCCUGUCUGAAUAUGGGGGGACCAUCCUCCAAGGCUAAAUACUCCUGACUGACCGAUAGUGAACCAGUACCGUGAGGGAAAGGCGAAAAGAACCCCGGCGAGGGGAGUGAAAAAGAACCUGAAACCGUGUACGUACAAGCAGUGGGAGCACAGGUUUACCUGUGUGACUGCG